GCCCCCGUUGUCUAAUGGCUAUGACGUCAGACUUCUAUAAUUUGUAGUGUGUGCUAAUCUGGAGGUUGCGGGUUCGAGUCCCGCCGGGGGUU